UGUAAGACCCCUAAAUUCCACUUUUAAUUUAUAUGAGUUUAUGGAGUAAAUUAAGUGUGGAAAGGAUGUUGAGUUUGGAAAUGAAAAAAACAAGGUUUUGGUUGUUUUGUUGAAGUCUGAACAAACUCGUACCUUUUUGACCCCUUUACGUUUUGAUUUGGUUUUUAUGGUCAACAUGAAAGUUGUAGAUCUCUUCGUUAGCUUUCCAACGAAUAUUGGUGCGUCUCAAUUGGACAACCAGAACUCAAGUUAUGAUCGUUUCCGUAAGAGGCGGAUUCGCAGAAAUUUUCCCACACUUCCUAGCACUCGAGCCAGGCACAGCAGAGGCCCAUUUUAGGCCAAAACCUGACCAUGGGGGCUGAGCAUAGGCGCAUGGUACUGUUCACAGGUGGACUUUUGUGACUUUUAGUUGACUUUAGGGGUUUAUGCACCCGGGACCUUUGUUGCUUAGUUUUUUGCGUAGAUUUCGUUUCCGAGGUUUGUUGUUGGGCUAAGGAAUGCUAUUUGGAUUUGUCUUAUGGAAGACCAUUAGUUAUAGAUAGGUUGAUUAGAGUUCGAGAGUUAUUAGUUCGAGUAUCGUCAUUAUUACGAUAUAUUUUGCUGAGAUCGUGCCUGUUUUGUGUUCGAAUGUCAGAAUGACACGGGGUUUGUUUUCCUAGUCUUCUUAUAGGAAUGAGGAUGAUCCUGUGUCUUUAGAAUUUCAUUUUUCGCGUUAUGCUAGUUUUUGAGAAAACGGGCAAUAGUUUACCCGCUGUCGUAAAAUUUUACGGUUUCGGAAUUCAGUAAAAUUUUAGAUAGAAGAUUUAUUUAUCUGCGCGAGUUAGGAUAUGUCCUGAGAAUAAUUUUCGAGAGUGUGGAAGAAAAUUACAGUCGCGGAAAAAGAUUCGGCGAUAAGUUUUGGAAUUAUUUUGAGACGGACUUCCGUUCCGUAAGUUUUCUGUUUUUACGAGUUUUGCUCGUCGCGGCGCGCGAGAGCUGUGGGGCGUGAGAGAAAAUAUCUAGAUAUUUGUUAAAGUAAAAUGGAUGGCUAGGAUUUGAUCUAGAGAAAGUGCUUUUGAUCCAAUGGCUAGGAAUGACCAAGACCAAUGUAUAGUAAGGAGGUUUAGCUUCUUUGGGGACUUAGAAAAAUCUGAAUUUUUCCAUUUCUCUUCCUCUCCAAACCGUGAAGCCAUCCCCCAUUUUCAUACCUUCACCAAUUUUUCAUUUCAUCACCAAAUCAUCUCAUUCCAAGCUAGGGAAAUCCAUAGAACUUGCAAGGAAAUCACUUCUCUUAAGGAAACGCGAAACGGUAGAAUAGAGCGAACGUUGUGGUUUUUGAUUGGAAGCUUGCCGAGGUAAGGGCACCUUCUAUUUAUGCCUUACUUCCGACAAUAACAUGUGUUGUUUUGGCUUGUUGUUUAUGCACUGGUUGUGAGUGCUUUGUAUGGUUGCGUUAUGUAUUCUCGUAAUGAGUUAUGUUGAAUACAUAUUGGUUGUUUACAUAUUAUGCGAAUAUGUAUGUUGGAAUGUUUGAGAUUACAUAUUAAUGAGAAUAUGUAAGUUGUUGCAUUAGUAUAUGUAGAGAAGGCGUAUGCUCAUGCAUUCAUAGUGGGUAUUUGAUCUGAGUGAUUGUACCCGGUGAUACUCCCGCCUUUAAGUGAGCCGGUAUUUGAUCUGAGUGAUUGUACCCGCCGUUAAUGGAGCCGGUAUUUGAUCUGAGUGAUUGUACUCGGGGUAUUCCACCAAUUGAGUAGGUGUUUGAUCUGAGUGAUUGCACCCGGUGUUAUCCCACCGUUUGAUUCCGGAAUCCAUGCAUGUGACGAUCCUGUGACGGGGUGUCACACUCAUUCAUUAGAGGUUUUGCAUUAGGUUAUGUGUGCACUUUAUUCAUUGUUCUUGGUGUUGAGAAUUAUGUUAAAUGAUUACUCGCUUUCCGUUUUGGUACUUGGUAUUUGGUAUGUAUAUUUGUUUCAGUUGGUGACCCUUGCUUUGUAUGUGAUAAAUGAACGGGUUAUCCCCCACCUUAGAUGACGGAGAGCCUAGCGAGACUGUGGGUCAUGUGGAUGGCGAGGACUUCGUGGACUAUCCCGGAGUGUAGAGAGUAGCGCUUGUUAGGCUACAUUUUUGGUUAGGCUUAGGGCCUAGUUGUAUUUUGGAUGACUGUAUGUCUUAUACAUUUAUACUCAGACAUGUUUAGUGCCUUUUGGCCUUGUGAUAUAUUCGGUUCAUAACUCGUGUCUUUUGGUUGAUGAACUUAAUGUAUCCGCUGUUUGUAAAUUAUUCAGGUACACACUUUGCUUCGAGGAAGCCCUGUAAUAUAAUGUGUUGAUGUUAUAUUUAUUUUUCUAUUGAAUGACGAAUUGCCGAGAUAGCUGCGGGCGUUCACGCGCGCCAUUUUAUUUAAGCGUGUUGUUAAAAAAAAAAAAUAAUACCCCUUUUUAUGCUUUGAAAAACGGGGUGUUACAUUUUGGUAUCAGAGCUCGACAGUAGAUCUUCAAAGGGAAAGUGUGUACAUGAGUUAACAGUCUGAGGUCACUUAGUUUAGAGUUGGAUUCGCGUCGGGUUAGCGAAUCAUUUGUGGGUAGCAGUGUGUCUUGUUUGCUAGUAUUGGCGCAUUAACUCGUUUCGUUAAUGUGUGUCUUCAACCAAUCCGUGAUUCAACUACGUUUGGCGCUUAUCAAGUCGGAUGUGGAAUUGGAAAAAGAUUUAUUAGGCCAAGUGUGUCUCCGUGGGGAGCAUCAGUCCUAUGGGUGAAAAGGAAAGAUGGACUUGGAGCGAAUCAAAACUACAAGGGAUUCUUGGAAGUGGCAUUGGACGUGGCCACUCGACAAUGUUGAGUGUGGACGAGUGGACGUCGUUCUUGUAAAGGAUUGCAAGUACGGAAUUAUUUAGGGGAACCUCUUAAGAAAAAUAUUGGAUGUCUUCUACGAUGAGUUCGGGACGAGACUCGAUGAAGCCGUUUAGUUGUCAAGAAGGUGCGACCGUUGUGGAAUGGUGGAGCAGACAACGAGGUCAAUUGGUAUUAAUUACGACGAUUGGAAAAUCAUCGAGGCAAGUCGCACUAGAAUUGAAGGACGUUGCGUGUCAAGAGUGAGUGAACCUUGCGUGGCUAGACGACGGUUAUACCGACAAUGGGUACCUUAAGGGUUUAAGUUGAGUGUUUAAGACAUAUGGGAUUAUGAAAUGUGAGUAUUAAGGUAAAUCACGUGAUGAUUUAAGGUAGGAGAACAAAUAUCACGUUGAUAAGUGAUGAACUAUGCGUAGUUCAGGGGAUAGUAAGUAUAGGUGUCGAUGUGAGACAAGAAUAUAGUUGGUUAAUUUUUGGAUCAUGGGUGAAUUUGGAGGGAUGUUUAGGUAAAGAACGAGUAGUUCAACCUUGGAAAAUGAAUUGUGUGUCGAUGUUAAGCGAUGCUAGAGGUAUAUAGUGUGGAAAUACCUAGAGAGUUGUAGCCGUGUAAGCUAGAAUUGUUAGUUUUGGCGGGUAAAACCUAAGAGAAAUUAAAUUUCUCAAGUAGUUUGACGGGAUUAGACCAUGAGUGAGUAGAGGCUCGGUAUGAAUGGGCAUUUAAGUUAACGAUUUCGAUCGACCGAGAGGGACGAAUGAUCAAGUAGCACCUUGAGUUUAUGAUAUCAUAGGAGUUGAAGUGGAAAUUUUUUGAGUAAAACAAGUUAUGGACGGAAAUUUUUAGAAAAUUUUCUAGAAAUGUCGUAGAUGAAUAAAAAAGGGGUUCGUUAGUAAGAGUACUAAGACAAUGAGAGUGAUAGUUGGAAGGACAUUUUGUUGAAUGUUAAGAUGUAAUGGGAAAUUUGGAUGAUAUGGCUAGUAUUUUAAGUUCUUGAGGAUUAGAUUCAAGGAGUUGAUUUAUGUAUCGGACCUAUUACGGAAGUUAUGGUAGCGUAUGAUUUAUUCUUGGUGGGUAGUCUCAAGAAGACGAGCAUUAAGAUUUGAAAUAAGUGUCGGACACUAGAUGGAUGAGCAAGAUGAGUCAAUUUGGAAGUUAAUCAUAAUGACGUUCUAAGGAUAAGGUUAGAGAUAGUUAUGCAUAAAGGGCUAAUAACUAGGAACAUGGAUGGUUAAUUAUUUAGAGUGUUCGAUUACGAGGAAUGUGUUGGUUGCAUCUUAGAGAAGGCUAGAAGUGAGUAAGAACUUUUUGAGUAAGUAGAUGCGUCGAGAUGAGCGGCAAGAACUUGUGCGCGAAGUGGGUAAUUAGUAUUAGAAAAUACUAUAACUUUAGAUAGUUACGACGAUUAGGGAUUGGUCGAACGGAGAAGCACAUGGCAACGGGGCCUGUGAGAACUAAGGAAUUCGCGAAAAGGAUUACCUCACACAUAAUUUGGAAAAUUAUGAUUGUGCGUGUAUGUUGAGGAGUCGAAAGCACCACAUGAACGGAGGUCAUGGCGGUGUGUUUGUUAUAUGUGGAAGUAAAAAAGGAGGUUAGUAAUUGUUCUAAUGAAGAUGGGCGUAGCAUAGUGGAAAGUGCGCGUUGAGAAAAUAAAGGACAUCGGAUGUUAACAAUAAAGAGGAGAGGUUGGAACAAUUAAGGAGGUCGAGGGUGACGAACUCUUUUGAGGAAGAGAGAAUUUAUUGGUAAGAGGAAGGAAACUCGACGAAGUUUUAAAAUGGUUUGGGAAUUUAACAAAAGAUUUUAUAAGUUGACAACCGCCAAGACAACUUGGGGAGUUGUAAUCACCAACCGGAUGUUGGGAUGGUAUUAUUAAAAAUGAGAUUGGAAUGAGAUUAGUGUAUGAACGAACGGUGCGGCGAAGUUACGAGAUCAAAAAAAAAAAAAUUUUUUUUUAAGGAUUUACGGACAUUGGUGAAGUUGUAAGGUUCUACGGAGAUGACAACUUCUUUCGGAGUAUUUAUGUUGUGGGCGGUUGCGACUCGUAGACAAGAUCGAGGUAGUAAGAAUUGAGGAGACAUGUAGAAAACCUCGAAGAAGACGUUGGACCUUUGUGAUUCAGAUGAAUUGAGUACAAGUGGCUGAGAGUGCUAUUGUAGUUUGGUAAAGAUGGUCUAUGUCACCAUCAUGGUUGUCGACUAUCUAGUGACAAAUUGAGGAACUGAUCGUCCUUAAUCUCUUGUUAUUAGUAGGCGGAAUCGUGUUGACUGGAAUGGACUAGUUUGGCCAGCUUUGGUAGUGCGUAAAGUUUUUGAAAAUUCUUUUUGGAAGGUAGCCGUCACUGUUUCGUGUAAACUUAAUGAAAUGGACUAUGAUGCGGAGGCAGAAGAAUGUGAUGUUGGAAACGUCAUGUGAUAACUUAGGUUGCGGACUUUCGUGAAGUUAAUCUAAGUUAUUACUCUCACUUUAGUUUCGAGGACGAAACUUCUUAUUGGUGGGUAGUAAUGUAAGACCCCUAAAUUCCACUUUUAAUUUAUAUGAGUUUAUGGAGUAAAUUAAGUGUGGAAAGGAUGUUGAGUUUGGAAAUGAAAAAAACAAGGUUUUGGUUGUUUUGUUGAAGUCUGAACAAACUCGUACCUUUUUGACCCCUUUACGUUUUGAUUUGGUUUUUAUGGUCAACAUGAAAGUUGUAGAUCUCUUCGUUAGCUUUCCAACGAAUAUUGGUGCGUCUCAAUUGGACAACCAGAACUCAAGUUAUGAUCGUUUCCGUAAGAGGCGGAUUCGCAGAAAUUUUCCCACACUUCCUAGCACUCGAGCCAGGCACAGCAGAGGCCCAUUUUAGGCCAAAACCUGACCAUGGGGGCUGAGCAUAGGCGCAUGGUACUGUUCACAGGUGGACUUUUGUGACUUUUAGUUGACUUUAGGGGUUUAUGCACCCGGGACCUUUGUUGCUUAGUUUUUCGCGUAGAUUUCGUUUCCGAGGUUUGUUGUUGGGCUAAGGAAUGCUAUUUGGAUUUGUCUUAUGGAAGACCAUUAGUUAUAGAUAGGUUGAUUAGAGUUCGAGAGUUAUUAGUUCGAGUAUCGUCAUUAUUACGAUAUAUUUUGCUGAGAUCGUGCCUGUUUUGUGUUCGAAUGUCAGAAUGACACGGGGUUUGUUUUCCUAGUCUUCUUAUAGGAAUGAGGAUGAUCCUGUGUCUUUAGAAUUUCAUUUUUCGCGUUAUGCUAGUUUUUGAGAAAACGGGCAAUAGUUUACCCGCUGUCGUAAAAUUUUACGGUUUCGGAAUUCAGUAAAAUUUUAGAUAGAAGAUUUAUUUAUCUGCGCGAGUUAGGAUAUGUCCUGAGAAUAAUUUUCGAGAGUGUGGAAGAAAAUUACAGUCGCGGAAAAAGAUUCGGCGAUAAGUUUUGGAAUUAUUUUGAGACGGACUUCCGUUCCGUAAGUUUUCUGUUUUUACGAGUUUUGCUCGUCGCGGCGCGCGAGAGCUGUGGGGCGUGAGAGAAAAUAUCUAGAUAUUUGUUAAAGUAAAAUGGAUGGCUAGGAUUUGAUCUAGAGAAAGUGCUUUUGAUCCAAUGGCUAGGAAUGACCAAGACCAAUGUAUAGUAUAAGGAGGUUUAGCUUCUUUGGGGACUUAGAAAAAUCUGAAUUUUUCCAUUUCUCUUCCUCUCCAAACCGUGAAGCCAUCCCCCAUUUUCAUACCUUCACCAAUUUUUCAUUUCAUCACCAAAUCAUCUCAUUCCAAGCUAGGGAAAUCCAUAGAACUUGCAAGGAAAUCACUUCUCUUAAGUUGGUGACCCUUGCUUUGUAUGUGAUAAAUGAACGGGUUAUCCCCCACCUUAGAUGACGG